GGGGUUGUAGCUCAGUGGCAGAGUGCUUGUCUCAUAUGUGUGAGGCCCUGGGUUCGGUCCCAGCACCCCA
rnacentral:tRNA from 1 species